UACGGGGGGAGCAAGCGUUGUUCGGAAUUACUGGGCGUAAAGCGCACGUAGGCGGAUUGCUAAGUCAGGGGUGAAAUCCCGGGGCUCAACCUCGGAACUGCCUUUGAUACUGACAAUCUCGAGUCCGAUAGAGGUGGGUGGAAUUCCUAGUGUAGAGGUGAAAUUCGUAGAUAUUAGGAAGAACACCGGUGGCGAAGGCGGCCCACUGGAUCGGUACUGACGCUGAGGUGCGAAAGCGUGGGGAGCAAACAGG
rnacentral:rRNA from 1 species